GGGCACUCCCCAGCACACCUCCUCCUGCCUGCAAAUCUCUGCCUCAGACUCUGUUUCCUGGGUAACCUGACCUAAGAGAAUUGAUCAUACACAGAACCCUUCUAUAGCUGACUCACUUGAAGAACUGUGAAAGAUGAGGGGGCGAGGAAAAAAAAACAAACAUCAUGGUUUCCCACACCUCUGUUAAGCUGUAGAGCUCAAAGCAUGUCACAGAGAACCUAAAUGACAGCAUACUGUAAUGAAGCACAGGUUAGAUUUCUG
rnacentral:lncRNA from 1 species